CGAGGAACUUAUAUUUGGAGCUGAUCAUAUUACAACAGGUGCUUCCAGUGAUUUUGAUAAUGCAACCCAAAUAGCAAAGCAGAUGGUCACCAAAUUUGGAAUGAGUGAAAAGCUUGGAGUUAUGACCUACAGUGAUACAGGGAAACUGAGUCCAGAAACUAUAUCUGCUAUUGAACAGGAAA